rnacentral:lncRNA from 1 species
AGCUGCAGCCGCCAUGAGGCCUCCCCUCAGCUCCUCUGCUCUGGGCUGAGGAAACCCAGGGGCCUCAGCUGCUCUUCGUAAGUCUUGCCCUCCACGCCCUUUGUAGGCCUCCUUUGGGCACUCUGUAGUAGUUUUAUGUCCGUUUCAUACUGUGACUCCCCACACUAACAGCAACUGAGAAAACACUAACAUUUAGCAAGAUGAUUGCUAGUGUUUCUAUUCUCCGCCUCCACUGUCAGCAUUGAGCCCGAGCCUUUGGUUUCUAGGAAACAUCAUGUAAUUUCCACCUGCAACAGACAUUACUUCUCAGAUCAAGCAGGAUUUCACAUCAAGUAUUAGCUAAAGCUUAGGAAAACUAAGGCUCCAAAACCACUCCUUCUAAAUGGGGUGGACUUCCUAAGCGGAGUGGGUGGCUUAGCAAAUGCUGCCAGGUUUAUGUUUGUAAAUGCUCUUCCCCAUGCUCUUCCUCCAAUCGGGUAAAUAUGAAAACAAAUGUUCUCUCUCUUUGGCUCUUUAUAUCAGCAGGAAAUAAUUCCUCAGUGAUCUCUUCAAAUUAAUGCCUCACCUUUACCUUGAGUAUCUCACCAGCCUCAUCUUCUCUUGUUUGCAGGAUUUUUGCAAAGAGCUCAUCUGAGGAAGAGGGAAACACCCCCAGAACUUCAAAAAGGGUACACAGGCAUCCUGCAGACGUGGACCCCAGACAACUAACUGCUGAAGCCUCUCACGUACGUGAGGUUCACCUCAAAGUGCUGUUGAAACAAUCACAGGAUCAUAGAAGGCCGGAAAAGACCAGUAAGACCAUGCAGUCCAACUGUCAAUCCACUACCACCAUGCCCACUAACCCACAUCUCUCAGUGUGACAUCUACAUCUUGAAAACCUCCAGGAACAGUGACUCCACCACCUCCGUGGGCACCCUGUUCCAACAUCUCACCACAGCCGGAGAAGAAAUUUUUCCUCAUAUCCAACCUGAACUGCUGCAACUUAAAGCCAUUCCCUGUCAUUCUGGAAUGAAUGGAAGAAAAGGCUGACCCCCAC